GUGAACGCUGGCGGUAGGCCUAACACAUGCAAGUCGAACGGCAGCACAGUAAGAGCUUGCUCUUACGGGUGGCGAGUGGCGGACGGGUGAGGAAUACAUCGGAGUCUACUUUUUCGUGGGGGAUAACGUAGGGAAACUUACGCUAAUACCGCAUACGACCUACGGGUGAAAGCAGGGGAUCUUCGGACCUUGCGCGAUUGAAUGAGCCGAUGUCGGAUUAGCUAGUUGGCGGGGUAAAGGCCCACCAAGGCGACGAUCCGUAGCUGGUCUGAGAGGAUGAUCAGCCACACUGGAACUGAGACACGGUCCAGACUCCUACGGGAGGCAGCAGUGGGGAAUAUUGGACAAUGGGCGCAAGCCUGAUCCAGCCAUACCGCGUGGGUGAAGAAGGCCUUCGGGUUGUAAAGCCCUUUUGUUGGGAAAGAAAAGCAGCAGGUUAAUACCCCGCUGUUCUGACGGUACCCAAAGAAUAAGCACCGGCUAACUUCGUG
rnacentral:rRNA from 1 species